UACGUAGGGACCGAGCGUUGUCCGGAUUCAUUGGGCGUAAAGAGCUCGUAGGCGGCCACUCAAGUCGAAUGUGAAACCUCGAGGCUUAACCUCGAGCCUGCAUUCGAUACUGGGCGGCUAGAGUCUGGUAGGGGGAUCUGGAAUUCCUGGUGUAGCGGUGGAAUGCGCAGAUAUCGAGAGGAACACCUGAGGUGAAGACGGGUUGCUGGGCCGACACUGACGCUGAGUGCGCGAAAGCCAGGGGAGCAAACGGG
rnacentral:rRNA from 1 species